rnacentral:rRNA from 1 species
GGGGUACUCGAGUGGCGAACGGGUGAGUAACACGUGGGCAAUCUGCCCUGCACUUCGGGAUAAGCCUGGGAAACUGGGUCUAAUACCGGAUAGGACCUUUAGGCGCAUGCCUUUUGGUGGAAAGCUUUUGCGGUGUGGGAUGGGCCCGCGGCCUAUCAGCUUGUUGGUGGGGUGAUGGCCUACCAAGGCGACGACGGGUAGCCGGCCUGAGAGGGUGUCCGGCCACACUGGGACUGAGAUACGGCCCAGACUCCUACGGGAGGCAGCAGUGGGGAAUAUUGCACAAUGGGCGCAAGCCUGAUGCAGCGACGCCGCGUGGGGGAUGACGGCCUUCGGGUUGUAAACCUCUUUCACCAUCGACGAAGGUCCGGGUUUUCUCGGAUUGACGGUAGGUGGAGAAGAAGCACCGGCCAACUACGUGCCAGCAGCCGCGGUAAUACGUAGGGUGCGAGCGUUGUCCGGAAUUACUGGGCGUAAAGAGCUCGUAGGUGGUUUGUCGCGUUGUUCGUGAAAUCUCACGGCUUAACUGUGAGCGUGCGGGCGAUACGGGCAGACUAGAGUACUGCAGGGGAGACUGGAAUUCCUGGUGUAGCGGUGGAAUGCGCAGAUAUCAGGAGGAACACCGGUGGCGAAGGCGGGUCUCUGGGCAGUAACUGACGCUGAGGAGCGAAAGCGUGGGGAGCGAACAGGAUUAGAUACCCUGGUAGUCCACGCCGUAAACGGUGGGUACUAGGUGUGGGUUUCCUUCCUUGGGAUCCGUGCCGUAGCUAACGCAUUAAGUACCCCGCCUGGGGAGUACGGCCGCAAGGCUAAAACUCAAAGGAAUUGACGGGGGCCCGCACAAGCGGCGGAGCAUGUGGAUUAAUUCGAUGCAACGCGAAGAACCUUACCUGGGUU